CCCUAACUAUGUGGGAGGCGUCAGGGGGAGGGGGGAGCACCGCCGUGGAGGGGGACUAGCUAGCUUGUUGAGUUAGCGUCGAGGUGGCGGUACAUACACGCGUCAUGGAGAGAGCACCCCCCAGAAAGAGUGGGGUACAAACGUGGUCCAGGUAGGGAACGGGUGACCGAGUGGUAACAUAAAGCCCAACAUGCGCAGGCCUACGGUUAGUUUGCGACCGGACGAGCGACUGUGCGCUUGCGUGACCCUCGGAGGGUUCUCUCCUUCUCUUUUGCUUCGUCGUUCGCUUUUUCACCUUGUUUCUCGCAGUACACUCGCCUGUUCGAUGGCAAGCAUGACUCGGACCUCCGAGGGUCGCGUGACCUUCCGCCCGGCGCUCUCGAACCAGCCUUGCGCCAGAUUGAAAUCUCUCACUCGGCCGCAACCAUUUCUCGACAGAAAGACUCGCCGAGGAUCGCAGAUCCGAGAUAUAGUGGACAAUCGUUUAUAGAGAUGCGACAUAGCAUCCGAGCUGACCGAGAGAGCAUCCUCGUAGACGAUGGGGAUACCCACGGAAGGAUCAUCCGUCUUCGGCGAAAUACUGGAUUCGAAACAACGAGGGAGGACGGAGGACGAUUAUGGCAACCAUAGUAAGUACGCAAGUCCAACAUUGGCACGUAAACAUCGUGAAAAUCUUGAGCCCAGAUACAUCCAGUUAAUACAGAUUUAUAUAAACAUCAACAUCGAGACAUCGAGAUAUAGUCGAAACGUACUCUUUGGUUGCCAAUCUCAUUCUUGACCUCGUUCUCCCUUUCUCAUAUAUUAAUAUACGAAAACAGAAACCUGAGAGUGAGCAUGUGCAAAUACAAGUCCUAAUUUAAGCGCGUAUCGAUAUAAAAUGGAAAUGGAAAAAGGAAAGAGAGAGAGAGGGAGGAUGUAGAGUACUGAUGUUCAAAGUACAAGCAGUAUUCGAACAACACGCUCGGUGUAGAAUAACCGCAUUUUGCGGUGAUGGAAAAUUUUUAUUCGAAUUUCCAGCAUACUUCCAUAUUAAACAGUCUCAAAAAUUAUCACAGAUAACAACGGUGUAUAGUUCUUCAUCUGCUUUAUUUAAUUACGCCAAACGAAGAAAGAUUUCUUUUCAAAAAGCAUCUGGACUGACGUUAUUAAUUAAUAUCAGGAAGAAAGACUUGGCAUGGCAACAAGAAUUCGAUUUAAAGACAUUUCUUGUACUGAAUGUAUACCUAUUAUAAUUUUCAACAUCCCUACUAUGGAUUGAUGAUCGGAUCUAAACUCGUUUCAGGGAAAAUUUUUGGGUGCAACACUGAUUAAACUACUAGAAAAUUAGUGUUUAUCAGGUAUCACAAACUGGAUCCAGGAAUCAGGCGCUAUUAAUAAAUUCAUCUUUAAGGACCAUGUGUGAAGAAGAUGUGGAAUCCCAACUAAAUGCAAUCUUUUGAGUCAAUAUCAACAGUGUAUUUACAUCAUAAUUCAUUCUAACAUCCAAAAGAGCAAUUUUACUCACAAAAAUGCAAUUUUAAUUGCGUAAUGUAAGUAAUAUAUGUAUUGCAAUAUUAAAUUUUGUGUGCAAAUUUUUAUAUAUAAGUUGUUAGCAGUAUAGAAAAAGUAAAAAAGACUAAUUCAAUCCAGACAAAAAAAACAAGGUUCAGCUUGAGGUUGGGUAUGUGGUUCUUUGAUAAAAUAAUAACAAAACUGAUAAUAAAUUCCAAAUAAAUCAAAAUUUACAAACAAUAAAUAUAAAUAUAAAAUAUAAAUAAAUAUAAAUUUAACAAUAAUAAAUUGCAAAAUUUUUAACUUUGAUUUUAAUUGAAACAACAGAUUUAAAUUUUGCUAUUUGUUUAAAAGCAGCAAACUUUUAACGUUGUUUCUUACUUUCUUUUGACGUAUCAAAAUUUCAAUUUUUAAUUAUGUCUUUUAAAGAAGUUCUAAUUCCUUAUGAAAUGUUGGUAUGUUGAAUAAUCAGCUUUGUUAACAUUUUCAAUAAUAUGGCACAUUCAGGCUCUGUCUGGCCCUUUUUUCCAGCUUGAUUAGUCUUUUUUACACAUGAGUCCAUUAUUGUGAGUUAAAAGCAAGGUAAAUUUUAUUCUGCGGAUUUUACUUUCCAAACAGUAAAAUUAUAUUGUUUAAAAAUGUGAUUCUUUCAUUCGAAUUCUUAGACAGUUGUUGAUUCUCAUUAAAAAAAAAUUGAUUAAAUGUAAGCAAUGAAAAUUUUCUCAACCGAGCGUUUGCAUAAUUUAAAAACUAUAAUUUAAAUAUAAUUUAGUUUAGGCCGACAAUAGUGAGAUUAAUUCUAUAUUAGAAAUAAAUAAAUUAAUCUAUAAAUUAAUCUUCAGUAAGUUUCAAAAUGCUAGUACAUACUGCAAAAUCAAAUUUAAUUUCUAGUCGUAUAAUUUGUCAUAUGUAAGAUAGGAUCGUAAUAGGAUCUAAUGAAAAAACUAUUUGUAGUCUAUAAUCUAGUCAAAACUUCGAUGUUAAUAGAAAUUUUCGACUUCUAAUCAAACGUAUUUCUAAUACAUAACAUAUCUUUAAUAUAAAACUAUCAAUCUAGUCAAGAAUUUCAAAUAUUUACCUAAUCCCCAUCUAAUAAAGAUACAUAUAGCAAUAUUAGUUGUCGCAAAAUCUAGUCAAUUCAUUUUUUAGUUUCGUCGUAUUAAUUGUAAAACUAUCAUUAUUCGAUUAUAAAAAUUAUUUAUUUAGUUCGUAUUGUGGUACAGCACUAAUAUUAUAAAAUCUAAUUUUAAAAUAGAAUUAAUCUCUAAGCCUAGAUAUAAACUCAGUCGCGGCAAAAAAUCGCGUUUGAAAAAAAAUUGAUUAAAAAAGUACAAAUCUUUCUUUAAAUUCCUUAAAUAGCUCGCUGAGUAAUAUAUUCUUUUAAAUUCAAGAAUAAUCAGUUUUCAUAUGAUCUCCUUACAAUGUAUACAUUAUUUUAUACUAGAUUAGUAUUAAUAUUAGGUAAAAUUGACUAAAGCACAUAAAAAUUUAAUUGGUUUACUAUUAUCUAAAGUCUUGCAAUUCUAGUCAUACUUAAUAUAUUUAUAGUUGUAUUCCAAGUCAUUUCUAUUCAAUCACUUAGUCCAUUGAUGUAGUUAAUUUAAUAUUUGAUGCAUGAUAUGCAGGCCACUAAUAAAUGCAAUCUUUUCUUAAAUCUUAGAGCGCACGGUUCGUUAUCGUGGCAUAACAGUUAAUCGUCUUAUCGACAUUAUCCUUACAUUUAUAUGUUUGUAUAUUACGUCACGAAGACCGUGGAUGCGGUGCCAUAGAAAAUUUUUAGAAACUAAAAUUAUACCAAAAAAUGAUGCUAGUCCAUGGACGCUAUGCCAUAUGACACUUACACCAAAGAAUGAUGCUAGUCAUUUCCUUAGACGAUCGAACCAUUUUCCAUCUUUGUCUUAUAAUUCUCAGUCUUUGGAAGCACACAUAUAAUUCUUCUAGAGCAGUACUUAAUUUAAUUAUACUAUAAAUUUGCGUGUAAAUAGUCUAGUUAAUACCAGGUAUUAUAUAUAUAAGUUUAAUGCUUAAUAAUAAAGCACUUUUCUUUUGAUAAGAAUCUUACUUAAAAAUGAAAUAAUAAACAUGUAGAUUUAAUUUAAUGAUAAAUUAAUUUAUAAAUUGUAACAUAUUUUGGGAAACGUGCCAGUAUUGUGAUCAUUUAAAAUUGAUCCUUGAAUUGUAGACAUUAAUAAUUGAGGAGCAAUAAAUUAUUACUUGCUCUUUUUAAUAAAGAGAAGGCUUAAUUAGUAUAAUGUAGGUAAUAAAGAAGGACAAGCUUGUGAAUUUUAUAUAAAGUGCCUGUUUACAUUAUUUAACUCUUUUAUACUUAAUUUACACGCAAAAACAAGAUGUCCUCAAUGGCAGCUACCCAUGUAGAAAAGAGGCAGCACUUGUGUACUGUUAGGAUAAAGUACGUUAGGAAAAAAGGAAUCAUUUCACAUUUCCUUGUUUUUUAUAACUUUUAAAAAAUAGAAUUUUUUGUUUAAAUAUUUAUUUGAAAAAUUUUACACCUUUCUCUCAAAUAAUAUAAAAUUUUCAAACUUUAUUCUAAAUAUAUUAUUUUAUAAAAAAUCAUUAAUUUUUAAGAUUAAAAUUAAAAUUAAUCAAAAUCUCUCAUUGCUAAAUUUUUGCAAAUCUUUGAUGAAUGUUUCAUGAAUCUUUGAUAAAUCUUUGGAAAUUUUUUGCAAUAAUGAUAAUAACAUGAGAUAAUAUUGUGAUGAUAUCAUUGAUGAAAUGGUUAUUUGUUUCAUCAUGUUCCUUUACACAUACUAUCUGAGUAAGAAAAUAUCUUGUGUCACUUUGCUUUAAAAAGCUUUUAUAUUUUAAUCCAUUUGCAAAAAAAGAUUUAUCAAAAAUUUACUACACAUUCAUUAAAGAUUAAUGAAUAGCAAAUAAUUUUAAAAAUUUGUUAAAGUUACAAGUCAAAAAUAUAAAGAUCUAUAAAUAAUUCACAGAUUUAUCAAAAAUUCAUUAAAGAUUUAGCAAACCUUUACCAAAAAUUUAUUAAGAAUUUACUAAAAACUUGUCAAAAAUGCAUUAAUUGUUCACCAAAGAUUUAUCCAAAGAUUUGCUGAAGAUUCAUUAAAGAUUCUCUAAAGAUUUACCAAAGAUUUAUUUACCAAAGAUUCAUAAAAACUUUAUCAAAAAUUCACCAAAUACAUAUUUACCAAAAAUUCGCCAAACAUUUAUCAACAUGAUAUCAUCACAGUAUUAUCCCAUAUUAUUAUCAUUAUUACUAAAAAUUUGUCCAAAGAUUUAUUAUCGAAGACCAAAAAGGAGAUAUAAAAUGAUUCAAUAGAAAAUUGUAAGAUUAAUUUAAUAUUAAGUUCCUGUUUUUAUCCUAUAAGUUUGGGCAUUUAUCAAAUCCGAUUAAUUAUCCUUUUCAAGUAUUAAAUUGGCUGUGUUUAUUUUUAUAUUUCACAAUAAUAUAUUAUUUUAAUAAUUCAUCAUGUUAAUAUUUUUUUACGUAUUUUAGUCAAAAAGUUCAAAUUGUAUCAUCUUUAUGAUUUGACGCAGAAAUCAUAAAAAAUAUAUUUAAUUUAGAUCAUACCUUUAUAAAGUAUUUGAAAACUAAACAAAUUUAAUCUAAUUUGUUUAGUAUUUACAAAUUUCAUUUCUAUCGCGUAGCAGAUUGGAAUUAAUGUAGUGGCCAACUUUGUGGAAAAUUUGAUUUAAGUUUGCAUAAACGAACCAUACGUAAGAAUUAACAUUAAUCUCACUAGUCAGCAUAUCAAUAUAAACAACGAUGUAAAAUUAUAAGUAUUCCUUUUAAUUCUAUUUUAUAAGUUAAUUGUGUUUAAUAUAAAUUUCAAUUAGUACAAAUUAAUUUUAUUGUUGGCGCUUAAUGUACAAAGCAAUCAUUAUAAUCAUAAACCGAAAACAUUAAUUAAAUCUUAGCCAAAAAUAUAUAAAAAAUGAAAAAAUUAAUUGAAUCUAAUUUUAAUAAAGAAUUUUUGUUUUUAACGUAACAAGAAAUACAAUUUAUCCCAUUUGCUUAAUUCGUAAACAAUGAAAUAUAAGUAAUAUAAGAAUUAUUUUUCGAAAGAUAAAUAGUAUGUUUAAAUGAAAUUGACUCAAAUUGUCAUUGAUUUUAUAUUUUUGGCUAAUAUACGUAAUUAUUUACGAGUGGUAUCUAGUCAAAAAGCUCAUGGACGACUAACUCGAAAUGUUUCACCAAGAGAGGACUUGGCAGAUCUCGAAAAAUCACAUGCAGAAAUAUUCACCAGAUAAUAUUACGUAAUUAUGUAAUAUUGAAUCAAUUUAUAACUCACCUUUUGAAAUGUUUAUAUUAAAUCAAAAUAUUUUAACAUUUUUUAUGGUUGACGUUGAUCUAUUUAAUGCUACGAAUGCUUCAAAGUCUUUUGUAAUGGUAAAUAAACCGUAGCAAUUGUCAAAUAUUUUUAUGACAUUAAAUAAUGAUGACGUUAAACAUGUAUAAAUAUAUAAUAUAUUUAAUUUAAAACUCUAUGUUCAAUAUUCAUAUUUUCAUAUGACAAGCAUAAAAAAAGAAAAAUUAAUUGAUUAUCUAAUAUCUAAGUCUACAAAUAUCUUGUAAUCCUUGCUAAAGAGAUAAUCUGAUUUAAAAGUUAAUUUUUUAUUACAUAAUUACGUUUGAUUAAAAUGCACUGAUUUGGUAACUAUAAUUUAUUUACUCACGAUCUCGAGUCGUCUUCUCUUGGCUUACGUAGUAGAGCACACGAUCUCAGUCUAUGGAAAUAGUAAUUGUAAUAGCCUGUAACAAUGCGUAAAAUUUAAUUUGUAAAUAUCUUUUCGAUAAGAAAAAUUAAGUAGCUACAGUAUAAGUCUUGUAUUAUUUAUUACACACGUACAUUACAGUCUUGUAUCUCAUUACACAAAUCGAUGUGUAAUAUCGAAUUAUGUAAUGAGAAUUUAAUUAUUAAUAUUUUAUAAGAUAAAUAUAAUGGAAAACAAAUGAUUAAUUUUUAUCUUUAUUUAUUAUUUAUUAUUUCAAAGACCAAUACAUGUAAAAUGUGUAACAAAUAUAUCGCGAUAUAUAUUUAUAUUAUCUAUAUUAAACAUCUUUCUAGCGUGAGGAGUUUGUCGCGUGAAAUAUUUAUUGCUUUCAAUGUGGUUUGAUAAUUUUCGUAGAGUCUAAGUAUGCCGUAUAUGAUGCAUUUAAUCACUUAUUUACUCCACGUAUUUAAUAUUCCCUUAUAUCUCUUAUUGCGAUAAUUUAUGUGUAUAAUUAUAUAAUAUUUAAUCUAUUUAAUUCACCAUUUGUCGUAUUUAUACAUCUAUUUAUUUAAUACUUAUCAUUACAAAACAUUGUAUUUGCGUGUGCGUUAUAAUAGAAUCAUGUGUGAAACGUAUUCUAUAUUAUAAACUGUCAUAAAAUAUCAAAAUAUGCCAUGUAAUACAUAUAAUUGAAAUAUUGGAACAUGCGCGCACGCGCACGCACACACACAUCUGUUAAUUCUGAAAUGUAUCGUUCCGAAAUCAUUAUCGUGGCGCAUUAGAUUGAAUUAGAGUAAAAUGUCGAUUAUCUGCGUAAAUUGGCAGACAGUAAUCUACCAUUAUCAUGCAUGAGCAUUUGUGUAAAACAUUUAGAGAAAAAAAGAAAUUAAGAUAUAAUAAAUAAUAUAAAGAUAUAAACACAAUACAGCAAAUGAGCAUUAUUUACGAAUUUUUGUUUAAACUUGAUAAUCGACAUUAUAUUUGAUUUUUAUGCGAACAAAAAUAACUUCUCCAUUUUUUCGUAUGCUGCUAUAUUUAUAAGAACCAUCUUGAUAAAUAAAUUCUGUAACAUU
rnacentral:lncRNA from 1 species